rnacentral:rRNA from 1 species
UACGGGGGGUGCGAGCGUUGUCCGGAAUCACUGGGCGUAAAGGGCGCGUAGGUGGCCUGAUAAGGGUGUGGUGAAAGUCCGGGGCUCAACCCCGGAUCGGCCGUGCCGACUGUUAGGCUAGAGUACUGUAGAGGCGGGUGGAAUUCCGGGUGUAGCGGUGGAAUGCGUAGAGAUCCGGAAGAACACCAGUGGCGAAGGCGGCCCGCUGGGCAGUGGCUGACGCUGAGGCGCGACAGCGUGGGGAGCAAACAGG